rnacentral:lncRNA from 1 species
AUAAGCAUAGCAUAUUGCAAAAUAAUCGCGUAGCAUUUCCAUGAUUAUGGAGCAUUACGCAGAAAAAUCAAUCAUGCAUCAUAUUACAAGCAUAAGCUAGUCUCAGACUGUGGUUACUGUUUGAGAGGUGGUUUUGCCCGAAGGUGAGGAUGUACUCCGAGGAGUUUUGGCAUCAAUGAUAUUCCCCAGUAGUGCGAUAUUGGAGGAAGGGUUUCUGUCGAGCGGAGAUGGGAAUGUUAACCGAGAAAGUUUCGGAGUUCAAAAG